rnacentral:rRNA from 1 species
GACGAACGCUGGCGGCGUGCUUAACACAUGCAAGUCGAACGGAAAGGCCCUGCUUGCAGGGUACUCGAGUGGCGAACGGGUGAGUAACACGUGGGUGAUCUGCCCUGCACUUCGGGAUAAGCCUGGGAAACUGGGUCUAAUACCGGAUAGGAGCCAUUUUUAGUGUGAUGGUUGGAAAGUUUUUUCGGUGUAGGAUGAGCUCGCGGCCUAUCAGCUUGUUGGUGGGGUAAUGGCCUACCAAGGCGGCGACGGGUAGCCGGCCUGAGAGGGUGGACGGCCACAUUGGGACUGAGAUACGGCCCAGACUCCUACGGGAGGCAGCAGUGGGGAAUAUUGCACAAUGGGCGCAAGCCUGAUGCAGCGACGCCGCGUGGGGGAUGACGGCCUUCAGGUUGUAAACUCCUUUCGCUAGGGACGAAGCUUUUGUGACGGUACCUAGAUAAGAAGCACCGGCUAACUACGUG